AUUGAACGCUGGCGGCAUGCUUUACACAUGCAAGUCGAACGGUAACAGGCCGCAAGGUGCUGGCGAGUGGCGAACGGGUGAGUAAUGCAUCGGAACGUGCCCAGUCGUGGGGGAUAACGCAGCGAAAGCUGUGCUAAUACCGCAUACGAUCUAUGGAUGAAAGCGGGGGACCGUAAGGCCUCGCGCGAUUGGAGCGGCCGAUGUCAGAUUAGGUAGUUGGUGGGGUAAAGGCUCACCAAGCCAACGAGCUGUAGCUGGUAUGAGAGGACGACCAGCCACACUGGGACUGAGACACGGCCCAGCCGCCUACGGGAGGCAGCAGUGGGGAAUUUUGGACAAGGGGCGCAAGCCUGAUCCAGCAAUGCCGCGUGCAGGAAGAAGGCCUUCGGGUUGUAAACUGCUUUUGUACGGAACGAAAAGGUUUGGGUUAAUACCCUGGGCCGAUGACGGUACCGUAAGAAUAAGCACCGGCUAACUACGUGCCAGCAGCCGCUGUAAAAC
rnacentral:rRNA from 1 species